CCUCACUUUCGAUCAAGUUUUGCUCCAUGAGCUAACGUGGAUGCAAGAAGCGGGUUCCUGUGUUGCAUACCUUAUUGCGACGGAAAUUUGUGCCUAYUGUUGUCCCUUCCAAUGCGACGGGUCCUCUUUGUGCUCGAUUGGACUAUAUAGUGGGACUUGUGUUCCUCGAACAUCUCAUUUGAUUGUUCGGAUGGACCGCGAGUGGUUACUUGUUCUCUUGGAUGCGGAACUUUCUUCAUGGGUGUUGGGGUCAUCGGCCCUUGUUCCCAAUCUCAAGCGUUUAUCGCUUUUACUAGAAUGACGCUCUCGCCUUGUCUUUUGAUCGCGUGGAGCUCUCGGGCUUCACGGCGGGUCAUGCUUGGCAGACGUCGUGAAGGAAUGCUACCUGGUUG
rnacentral:misc_RNA from 1 species